rnacentral:rRNA from 1 species
ACGGGUGAGUAACGCGUGAGUAACCUGCCUUUCAGAGGGGAAUAACAUUUGGAAACGAAUGGUAAUACCGCAUAAAGUCACGGAACCGCAUGAUUCUGUGACCAAAGCUCUAUGUGCUGAAAGAUGGCCUCGCGUCUGAUUAGCUAGUUGGUGGGGGUUAAACGGCCCCACCAAGGCGACGAUCAGUAGCCGGUCUGAGAGGAUGAACGGCCACAUUGGGACUGAGAUACGGGCCCAGACUCCUACGGGAGGCAGCAGUGGGGAAUAUUGGGCAAUGGGGGAAACCCUGACCCAGCAACGCCGCGUGAAGGAAGAAGGCCUUCGGGUUGUAAACUUCUUUUAGUAGGGACGAAGAACGUGACGGUACCUACAGAAAAAGCAACGGCUAACUACGUG